rnacentral:rRNA from 1 species
AACGAACGCUGGCGGCGUGGAUAAGACAUGCAAGUCGAACGAGACUUUUCGUUGUAGCAAUACGAUGGAAAGUUUAGUGGCGAACGGGUGCUUAACACGUGGGCAACCUGCCAGGAAGUGGGGGAUAGCUCGCCGAAAGGCGAAUUAAUACCGCAUGUGAUUAGAAAGGACAUCCUUUCGAAAUUAAAGUCGGGGCAACCUGACGCUUCUUGUGGGGCCCGCGGCCUAUCAGCUAGUUGGUGAGGUAAUGGCUCACCAAGGCUUUGACGGGUAGCUGGUCUGAGGGGACGACCAGGCACACUGGGACUGAGACACGGCCCAGACACCUACGGGUGGCAGCAGGCGAGAAUUUUUGACAAUGGGGGAAACCCUGAUCGAGCGACGCCGCGUGGAGGAUGAAGGUCUUCGGAUUGUAAACUCCUGUCAUUGGGGAACAAGGUGCAUACGUUAACUGCGUGUGCAUUGAUAGUACCCGAAGAGGAAGAGACGGCUAACUCUGUGCCAGCAGCCGCAGUAACAC